rnacentral:lncRNA from 1 species
UGGGGAUAUUUAUUACUUUUGGUCUUAGCUUAUAUCUGCAUAGAAACUCAGGAUACCUCGUAACAACAUAUAGGAGCUCAUUUCAGAGUCAGCUCAGCUCAUAUGAAGACAGCUCUUCACAGCAUAACCAUAGCUCAUAGAGCUGUAAAUUUGAGGCAUCCAUAAUGCCACUGUAACAUACCCUCCUACUCCUGAGUUUAAGAAUUAGGCGAAAGGAGUACUAUUGACAUGAUACCUCAAUCCA